AUGUUGCGCGCUCUCUCAGACGUUGUACAAUACGUUUCGCUUUCGAGUUUCGGUGUAGCGCCAUGUUUUUUACCGUCCUCUUAUCGUUGGUUUUAAACUACGUAGAUAAUAAUGACAGUAUUCACAUUACACAUUUUCACAAUUCAGUAUUUUCAUGAGCAUUUCAAAUUUCUCCAAAUUGUACUCUCUUGCAGACUUCUUAAUUGUUAUUUCCUAUUAAUUGUUAUUCAAAUAGAGGUACCCAUUAUAAUAAUAACACAUAAAUCAUAAUACACUGCAAACUAUUUUGUACAAAAGUGGUUUGAAAUAUUUAUUAUUGUUUUUGUGAUUUUUAUACUUAUUUAAUAUGCCUCUAAAGUGUUUUGUGACUGGGCGCAAUUCAGGUUCAACCAAACAAAAUAAAAUAUAUCAACAGCAGGUGAUGAAAUGGCCCUUGGUAUUUCAUCCUCCCGAGAAAAUGGUUGAUACUUGGAUUGGAAUUUAAUAAUUUUACGAGUUGAUAGAUUGUUAACAAAAAUAAGUGGAGUAUGUGAACUGCAUUUUGUUUCUGAAGGUAUUUUUUUAUUUAGAAUUGUUGAGGAUACAACAGGAAAUGAAAUACAAUAUAAGCUUAAGAAGGUUAUUUUAAACCAAAAUGCUAUACCUUGUAUUUUCUCUAAAUUACUUUCUUCUUUCAACAAAAGUAUAAAAACGAAGACCUACAACAAAAAAGUCAACAAUUCUAAAUAAUUUUAAUAAUACAUUUUAAGAAUAAACCCAGUGACAUAAAUAUUGAAUGAAACAAUUGUGAGCCACUGGAAUAACAGAAAAUUAUAAAAUCGAACCAUUUAGAUACAAUUUUCAUACUGAUGCAAAUAAUAUUUAACUACCAGGUUCAAUGUGGGUUACCAAUGUACUUGUUACUCAUAACAUCAGAGAAAUUUCUUAAUGACUACCUAUUGUGAUUUUAUUGACUAUUUAAAUAUGUGGAAAUCAGAUAUUCUAGACCAACAUUUUUUUGUUUACUAGUCAAACAGAAAAAAGAAUAUUCUUACCUCAUGACUGAGAGAAUUAAUCAAGAUCCAUUAGAGCAUCUAUUUGGCUGUUUACGACAAACGUGUGGUUGGUUCCAAUCAGAAUCCAGAUCCAAAACGAUUCAUUCAAGUUUGUUGGUUAUUAUUAGUGAUGGGCAACGAUAUAAUUUUGUGUAUCGAUAUUGUUUCUAUUUUGCCGAUAUCAUAUCACAAUUUUGUAAGCUAUCUGUUGUUGCAAUUUCCACUUUUAAUAUUAAAAACACGGAUCAAAUUCUGAAGUAUACAGGAGUUCAGCAAGCCAUAAUCAAGGAUUAUCGAAUCCGGAAGCAAUAAUGAUCAGAUAUGUGUAAGAUUCCAUCAUCUUACAGGUUGUUGGAAUGCCUAAAAUCUAUAAAUUAACUGUAUGUGAUUGCUGCGAAUCCAACAUCUAAAGUUGUCUAAUUAAGCUGUCUUGUGUGGAACCCGUCGAUAUGAAAGAUACAGUUGCUUUUCAAAACCAUUAUUAAGAUUUAAGAACUAGUGUACCUAGUGACAUUUUAAAAAAUAAAAGGUUAUUACUUAUUUAUAUACAAUUAGUAAUUUAACAUUUUGUCCAUUUUAUCUGGUUUGGGUGUUGGGCUGUCUUUUAAUGUUAAGGAUUUGUAAUUCCACCAUACUAACAGACCUUAAAUUAAUUGUUUAAAAGUUUUUUGUUGUAAUAAUGUAGGUAAUAUACUUGCUGUAUAGUGAUUGGAAAUUGUAAAGUAUUACUUUACUAAUUUUAUUUACAUUUUUUUUAUGAAAGCUUAAAUAUAAUAUAAUAUACUCGUGAUUUAUCUUACACUUAUCAUACUUUGUGACAAUAUAUACAGGAUGUAACAGAUAGAACUGACUUUGGAAUAACUUUUGUUCUAAUCAAUAUUCAAAUUUUUUUUUAUAUAUAAUUUAUAGUCACUUGUGCUACACAUAUAUUAUACAAACAAUUAUUUUUAUAAAAUUUGAUUUAAAUUUUUUUGGAUAUAUUCAAAAUAGCCAAUUUGUGAAUCUGAUUAUAAGAACAAUUUAGAUAAUAAAAACAUUUAUCUACGUUAAGUAGUUUAUUUUUUAGAAUAUUUUUAAUCAUCAAUAUUUUUUUGAUUAAAUGAAUUUGAAACAAUAACUUUUUUCAAAAUAUUUUUUAUGGAAUUUGCUGACAUGAGUAUAUUUCUUAAAUUUUGUACUAAUCAUAUAAUUUUAAUAAUUUUUGUCAUAAAUUUAAGUGGCAUCAUUUUUUUAUUUUUCUUCAGGUCUUUCUGUUACACUUUGUAUAUAUAUAUAUUUAUACAUACAUCAUUAUCUAUAUCUAUAUCUAUACUACUAUAUAAAAUGAAGUCGGUUUUUUUUUGUUCGGGAUAAACUCCGAAACUACUGAACCGAUUUGGUUGAUUCUUUUUUUGUUGUGUUCGUAAUUGUCAGGACAAGGUUCUUAUGAAAGAACAUUUUAGGAAAAUCCACCAGAAAAGUAGAAAAUAGGGAUGUCAAUAAUACUACAGUGGCGCCAUCUAUCCAGAAAAAAAAUAAACUAAAUAAUAAAAAAUUUAGUUUAUUGUUGCAGAUUAAAAUAAUAAUAGUGUACUAUAUAUUGGUUGCUAUUGGUUAAUCCGGCAUUUUUGUUGAUUUGUAUUAUUAUUUUUCGUCAAUAUAUAUAUAUAUAUAUAUAUAUAUAUAUAGGUAUAUAUAAAUGAAUGUUUGUGUGUAGAUUAGACCUCUAGGAAGAUGAUAGUUUAAUUUAAAAAGGGUUAAAUUUGGUUUUAUUUUAUUCAUCGGAUUUUAGUACGGUUAGGUUAAGUUAGGAUUUUGUAUUAAUUGAUUAUAUUAAUCCAACGUAGCUCGUAGGUGGAAUUAAGUAAAAACGACAAACUUUGUAUAACUUUGAUACUUAAGAGUUAAAUCAUACAUUUACGUACAAACUGCACGGGGUCCGCGAUCUACCGCAGGUAGAUUGCUUACCUGAUAGUCUACUGUUGUAAAUCAGAAUUUUUAUUCCAGGCAACAGAAAAGUUAAGAUAAAUGUUGAACACCAUACACCGAAUAUCAAAUAACGGAUUGAACAAAGUUUGAGUCAUAUAGAGUUGGUACAUUUAACUGGCAACGUAGUGCACGGGAUCAGCUAUUUUUGAUAAAAAUAUAUUUAUCAUUAAUACCGCUAGAAACAUUUCAAUGCGUUUUCAUUAACCAUUUUUUAUAUUUACUAGCCGAUCACAUUAAACGAUAAAAUUUGAAUAAAAAUUAUACAUAUCAUCCUCCGGAGGCAAAAUAAACAACCUAUCACGGGCGAAGCUGUGACGGUUUGCCUAGUAUAAUAUAAAUGUGAACUGUAACUAUAUUAUGAAGAAUUCCUGAGUUCUUAAAUUGACCAGUUCAUUAUUUAAGUGACAGUUUAUAUAAUGAAGGAGCUCAUAAGUGUCCCUGAUAAGUAAAUGCAAUUGAACACUGUCAAUUUUUUUUUGUAAAAAUGACAAAUAUUUGUUUAGUUUACACAUUAUUUUCAAAUAAUAGAAAAUAUAUUUUUUUUUAGAAUUUAAAUUAAAUAAAUAAUCUUAGUAUUAGAUGGAAUAUUAUUUUUAAUUUAAUGCCUCAGAAAAAUUAACCUAUUCAUUCCAAACCAUGUUUUUAAUAAAUUGAAUUUGUCUUUUAAAUCAAUGAAAUCUUAUCAAAAGAUAUACUCUAUUUAAUAAAAUAACUAUUUAUUAGAUAUUUGGCGAGAAACAUAAUAUGUAAAUUACAGUUCACUCAAAUUAGAAAAUAAUAACUAUGUAAAAAACAGAUAAUUAUACAGAUUUUAGGUUUCUCAAGACUAUAAAUUAAUUUAUAAUGUUUCCACAUAUUUACCCAUAAUUAGUUAACAUAAUUUUAUAUUAAUACAAUAUGUAUAGAUUAAAUUAAUACAUUUGGAUAAAAAUAAAAGAAAUGUUUAACGCUUAUUAACAUAUUGAGCAUUUUAAGUUAUAUGGACACUAUAUAUGACUGGAUAUAAAUAAUAUCAUUGUAUAAGAAAAACGAUUCUGAGCGAAGACGGCCAGUCAGCCUAUGAUAUCAGUAUAUCACUGAGUAUAUUUGAUGAUAUUAUUGUAAAUAAAGUAAUUUAUAAUAUAUAACCUAUUUACGUGGAAUCUUGUUUUAAAUUUUUAAUCCUUAGCUAUAAAAGUUGAACAUUUUAUAAAUUUUUAACUAUAAAAUAAUUGUUAAAUUUUAAAUUUGAUAAAUUUUGUCAAAAUUUGAACUUUAAAUACUUAUAAAAAAAAUGUAUGCUUAUGUGUUUGUAGUAUUUUUCAACUGCUAUUGUAACAAUAAAAUGGAAGCCUUGUAUUAAAUGAAUACGCUUUUUUAUCCAACAAUGAACAAAUACAAUUGUAAUGAUAUUUAUAGAAAAAAAAAAACAAAAAAAUGUAAAACUGACAAUGUCCGUAAAUAACUAGUCAAAAUAUUUUCAAAAUUUGAUAGCGUUUACAAAAUGAGAAUAUAAACAUUCAGUGAAAUUUUCGUGUAUCUACAAUUAUUCGUUUUUGAAUUAUAACAAAAUAACAAAAUCGCUACAUGAGAUUGGGU